rnacentral:hammerhead_ribozyme from 1 species
AUCUAGCUGAUGAGUCCCAAACAGAACGAAACGCGUGUCCUGAAU